rnacentral:rRNA from 1 species
GUCCAGACUCCUACGGGAGGCAGCAGUGGGGGAUAUUGGACAAUGGGGGGAACCCUGAUCCAGCGACGCCGCGUGAGUGAAGAAGUAUCUCGGUAUGUAAAGCUCUAUCAGCCGGGAAGAAAGAAAUGACGGUACCUGAGUAAGAAGCCCCGGCUAACUACGUGCCAGCAGCCGCGGUAAUACGUAGGGGGCAAGCGUUAUCCGGAAUUACUGGGUGUAAAGGGAGCGUAGACGGCAGCGCAAGUCUGGAGUGAAAUGCCGGGGCCCAACCCCGGAACUGCUCUGGAAACUGUGAAGCUGGAGUGCAGGAGAGGUAAGCGGAAUUCCUGGUGUAGCGGUGAAAUGCGUAGAUAUCAGGAGGAACACCGGCGGCGAAGGCGGAUUACUGGACUGUAACUGACGUUGAGGCUCGAAGGCGUGGGGAGCAAACAGGAUUAGAUACCCUCGUA